GAUGAACGCUGGCGGCGUGCCUAAUACAUGCAAGUCGAGCGAACAGACGAGGAGCUUGCUCCUCUGACGUUAGCGGCGGACGGGUGAGUAACACGUGGAUAACCUACCUAUAAGACUGGGAUAACUUCGGGAAACCGGAGCUAAUACCGGAUAAUAUAUUGAACCGCAUGGUUCAAUAGUGAAAGACGGUUUUGCUGUCACUUAUAGAUGGAUCCGCGCCGCAUUAGCUAGUUGGUAAGGUAACGGCUUACCAAGGCAACGAUGCGUAGCCGACCUGAGAGGAUGAUCAGCCACACUGGAACUGAGACACGGUCCAGACUCCUACGGGAGGCAGCAGUAGGGAAUCUUCCGCAAUGGGCGCAAGCCUGACGGAGCAACGCCGCGUGAGUGAUGAAGGUCUUCGGAUCGUAAAACUCUGUUAUUAGGGAAGAACAAAUGUGUAAGUAACUAUGCACGUCUUGACGGUACCUAAUCAGAAAGCCACGGCUAACUACGUG
rnacentral:rRNA from 1 species